UUAACGUUAUGUGAGGCAGCAGCUAUCCCACAAGAACACCCGAUGGAGUUUCUGUACUUUCUCACAGAACGAUACCAUGGAGUGCAACUGCUCUACCCACCAGCCACUCCCCUCCCCAAAUUUGCUAAGUGCUUCACCUGUGUGCCAUUCCUACAGCGGUCACACAGGCCUGGGUGAUGGGAGCAAAGCAGUGGCUGCUCUGCUUAUCUCCCUGAAGUGCCUGCAGGGCAGCCGGCUGCAAUCACUUCCACUCUUACUCCCUCUACAGUGUGGGGCAUGCAGCAUAAACCAAGUUCUAAUCUCUUAAUGAAGGGCUCUCCAGUGCUCUGGAAAUGCCAGGAGAUCGGCAGUAACCACAUCCCAGUCACUUUCUUCCUUCUACUGUCCCAAAAUGUAAUUACUCGGGUAAUGCAUGCAUCAUAGACAAUGAGCCUUUCCCAGUGUCCCCUCAGAACACUUCCCACCCCUGCCCCCUUCUGUUCCCUCUCAACAGAAAAAUGUAUUCACAUAUACAAGCUUAGUCAUAUACGUGUUGAUUUUACCUUCUGUACUGGGUUUUUUCAUUUCUUCCACCCUUAUGAGUUUCUUCCUGACUCUGCGAGUAGAAUUUACCAGCUUGUGCAAUCUCUUAAACUUCACCGACUCCUCUGUUUCAUCAUCGGAUUGUUCUCUUGAAUUACAAUUGGAAGACCCAUCAAAUGUUGAGUAAG
rnacentral:lncRNA from 1 species